rnacentral:lncRNA from 1 species
AUCAAGAUUCUCUGAUCAUGAGUCCCACACAUUUUGGGUACCGGGGUCAAGAGUCCCACUGGUUUGGGACUCUUCGAUCAAGGUUUCAUAUUGAUGGACUUUGAUACCCGAUUGCCCAUCGGAUUUGGACUCAAUAUUUAUGAGAGAUUUAAUUAGUGAUUUGAUCACUAAUUAACUCAAUUUUAUUGAGUAAUUAUUUAUGGAUCAAGUCCAAUUGAAUUGG